rnacentral:lncRNA from 1 species
CCAGCCAUUACAUUUUGGAUAGAAAAUUAAUUUUUCUUUGCUAUCAUGAAUCAUUUCUAAACUCUAUGGAUGAAAGAUGGAACCACGUGCAAUUGCUUGUCAUUAGAGUCAGUGUCUUGCCAACACUAUUGCCUGCAAUAGCAAGCAAUGUUGCCUUUUUGUCCCUUCAUAGGUUUUUAACAGAGAAAAUUAUUAAAUGAACUAUGUUUUAUUAUAAUCAGAAAAAUGUCUUAAAGUUUCUGUUUCUCUUGCUUUUCUGCACAUUACAGAUCAGAGAAUGAUUUUGUUCAUCCACCUUCUCUAACUUUUCUUUUGAUAAUUUAUUGAUUCUGUUUUGGUGCUAUUAAGGUAUAAUCCUUCUUUCUUUGCAGUUUAAAUUGUUAUGUUUCGCUUGCUACACUAAGCAAAAGCUUGACUUUAACAAUUUCAUAUUGCAAUAUAACCAUAAUUCUUUCUAUUGCACUUGAAUAUGCAAUUAAAUUAUUGGCAUGAUUGCCAAGGGAAUUUUGACAAUACAUC